rnacentral:rRNA from 1 species
UACGUAGGGUGCGAGCGUUAAUCGGAAUUACUGGGCGUAAAGCGUGCGCAGGCGGUUCGUUGUGUCGGCGGUGAAAGCCCCGGGCUUAACCUGGGAAUGGCCGUUGAAACUGGCGAACUGGAGUGUGGCAGAGGGGGGUGGAAUUCCGUGUGUAGCAGUGAAAUGCGUAGAGAUGCGGAGGAACACCGAGUGGCGAAGGCAGCCCCCUGGGCUAACACUGACGCCUCAGGCACGAAAGCGUGGGGAGCAAACAGG